rnacentral:misc_RNA from 1 species
AGAAUAGAUGCAGGCACAUCGUGCAUUACGUUAAUGAAUACAACAUUAUAGAUGCCAAGCAUCAGCUAACUACACUAGCUGGUGAAAGGAAACUGGCAUGCAGAGGAACCUUGUUCGAAGCAACAAUCUCGUUGCAACAUCCCGCUCUAGCUCCAUCAACGACUAGAUGGAUGUGUCCUGGAGUAGAGUUUUCAGUAGGAACCAGUUCCCUAGCUGCAACUGUUUUGAGUCGAAGUCGUUCUGCCCUUGAGCCUAUUACUUGCCCCAGAACAGAUGCUCCAAUGGUAAACGCCAUAGCCGCUUUAGGCAUCAAAAUGGACUUCCUCAGAAUGGCUAUGAAUGGCACAGCUGCAUGUACAGCUGCA